rnacentral:rRNA from 1 species
AUACGGAGGAUCCGAGCGUUAUCCGGAUUUAUUGGGUUUAAAGGGUGCGCAGGCGGGAGAUUAAGUCGGCGGUGAAAUUUUGCAGCUCAACUGUAAAAGGGCCUUCGAAACUGGUUUCCUUGAGUGUAGAUGAAGUAGGCGGAAUUUGUGGUGUAGCGGUGAAAUGCAUAGAUAUCACGAGGAAAUCCGAUUGCGCAGGCAGCUUACUAAACUACUACUGACGCUCAGGCACGAAGGCGUGGGGAUCAAACAGGAUUAGAUACCCUGGUAGUCCACGCAGUAAACGAUGAUUACUAGCUGUUUGCGAUACAAUGUAAGCGGCUGAGCGAAAGCGUUAAGUAAUCCACCUGGGGAGUACGUUCGCAAGAAUGAAACUCAAAUGAAUUGGCGGGG